UACAUAUAUGUGUUUUAUUUAUAUACUGCUUUUUUUUUUUUUUUUUUUUUUUUUUUUUUUUUUUUUUUUGUAAUACAUUUUUGUUUUGUUGUUCAUCCUAUAAUAUCUCAUUAUCUUGUUCAUGUUUUAAAAAAAACAUUAUUGUAAAUAUAAAGUUAAAAGAUUGGAAAAUGUAUAUAUAUUUUCACAUAUAACAUAUGCCCUAAAAAAAAUAUUACAUAUAUAUAUAUUAUAUACAUAUGCCAUAUAUUUUCAUUUUAUUUUUCUUUUGUCAA